rnacentral:rRNA from 1 species
GAGUUUGAUCCUGGCUCAGAAUCAACGCUGGCGGCGUGCCUAACACAUGCAAGUCGAACGAGAAAGUGGAGCAAUCCAUGAGUAAAGUGGCGCACGGGUGAGUAACACGUGACUAACCUACCCUUGAGUGGGGAUAACCUAGGGAAACCUGGGCUAAUACCGCAUAACACCUACGGGUCAAAGAAGCAAUUCGCUUAAGCGAGGGGGUCGCGGCCGAUUAGUUAGUUGGCGGGGUAAUGGCCCACCAAGACGAUGAUCGGUAUCCGGCCUGAGAGGGCGCACGGACACACUGGAACUGAAACACGGUCCAGACUCCUACGGGAGGCAGCAGUGGGGAAUUUUGCGCAAUGGGGGAAACCCUGACGCAGCAACGCCGCGUGGAGGAUGAAGUCCCUUGGGAUGUAAACUCCUUUCGAUCGGGACGAUUAUGACGGUACCGGAAGAAGAAGCCCCGGCUAACUUCGUGCCAGCAGCCGCGGUAAUACGAGGGGGGCAAGCGUUGUUCGGAAUUAUUGGGCGUAAAGGGUGCGUAGGCGGUUUGGUAAGUCUUGUGUGAAAUCUUCGGGCUCAACCCGAAGCCUGCACGAGAAACUGCCGGGCUUGAGUGUGGGAGAGGUGAGUGGAAAUUCCCGGUGUAGCGGUGAAAUGCGUAGAUAUCGGGGAGGAACACCUGUGGGGGAAAGCUAGCUCACUGGACUAUAACUGAAGCUGAGGGACGAAAGCUAUGGGAGCAAACAGGAUUAGAUACCCUGGUAGUCCUAGCCUUAACGAUGAUCGGUUGGUGUGGCGGGAAGCAAUCCCUCCGUGCCUAAUCGAAGUUGUAUGCAUCCGUCC